AGUCCUGGAAGUACAAGUGAAAAAAGAAAUCCUAUUUUAGCAUGAACAUGCACCUCCAAUUUUUUAGCUCUUACUAGCAGUUCCUGUAUACACAAACAUGUGAGAAGUCUCCAAAGAGAAGUUUCAGUUUUGCAAGCAAAAAAACAAAAACAAAAAAAACUAAUCACAUCGAAGAAAAGUAGGCACUGCACUUUCUAGAUGACAGUAUUAAUAUAUAAUUAUUUUAGAAGAAACUAUGAAUCUGUUUAAAUCCCCAAAGUUAAAUAACCUAAUCAGAUCACUUAGAGAAAUAGGUGCUUUUCGCUGCCCUGCCCUAAGAUCAUAUUGCUAUUUAACCUGCUUUUAAACAAACAAGAAUUUUUAAACAUUUUCUAUCCUUUAAGCAAAUGUUCUUUGCUUGGCUAAAUGACAAUGUUCAAGAAAUGCCUACCACAGAAGCAUAAAAAACCCCUGGCAACAUUCCAGAAGAAAUUCACCCCGCAUAAUGUGUUCCAGCUAAUGCUCAAUAGCUUUCGGGUGAACCUGCUGGCUCUGUGUGCCCUUGAACAGAAUCUGAAAAGAACAAAAGAAAAACUGAUAGACAUUUUCCCUUUUGUGAGUCUGGUGGAACUUUCCAAACUUCGAAAAAUGUACGGCUACCAUGAACCCGGCCCUGGGCUCUGAUGUAAACUUUGUUUUACUACCUUUGCUUCCCUGAAAUUCAACUAUAAUUAUAUUGUUUGUCUUUUCAUCCAAUAAAAUGUGCAUUAGCAUUUGGUCCUCUUUAGAGUGUAGUAUUUGUUUAGAUGAAUGUAUUCUUUCAAAUGAUUAGCAGUGCUGCCACAAUGAGAACACUUUAGAUUAAACUCUUGAUAUGGUAUUGAAAGGAGGGAGAUCAGCUCAAAAUGCUUCCAAAGUGUGCUCAUAACUGGCUGAGGCUAUCGACUUUUCUAGAUAUGUAUGAGAAUUUCACCAACCGCAAAAGACUUUAAGAUGAAAUCCCUGGCCCUUUUAUAAAUGAAAAAAACAACACGAGAGUUCCUAUUGUGGCUCAGCAGGUUAAGAACCCAACUAGAGUCCAUGAGGAUGCAGGUUCCAUCUCUGGCCUCGUUCAGUGAGUUAAGGAUCCCGCGUUGCCUUGAGCUGUGGUGUAGGCUGCAGAUGCAGCUCAGAUCUGGCGUUGCUGUGGUUGUGCUGUAGGCUGGCAGAUGCAGGUCCGAUUCGACUCCUAGCCUGGGAACUUCCAUAUGCCAUGGGUACAGCCCUAAAAAGUCCAAAAAACUGAAAAUAAAAAAUUAAAUCAUUGGCCAUUUUACAUCUCUGAAGCUGUAGUGAUACAUUUGGCGCCAAUUCUCUCUGGACAUGGGAGGCUGCAGCAUUGGGUGGGAGGGCUGAUACAGAGUGCAUUUGACCUUAAAUGCCCUGGAUGGAGGAAGAGGAGGAUGCUUGGAAAGAUAACAUUGUCUCCAUUUGAUGUUCUAGGACAUGUGCAUGGAAUUGAAACAACCCAUUUUGCAGGCAAGAAGCUAUAGAUGCAAAUGCCAGGCCUGGGGAAAACUGGACCCUGGGGAAGGAUGGAAGGCACUGGGGCUUGCCCUCACAGGCCCUCCCACUAUGGGGCCACCAGCCUGCUCCACGCAGAGCCUUCUCCGGGUUCCCUGGGGGACCUCUUGGAGGAGUGCAGCAGGAAGACUAUCGAUUGGCUCGGGACAUAAAAUAGACUAUUGACAGUAUCUCAGAGAUACCCCCAACAGGAUGGAAAAGAAAGGACUCACCCACAACUUUAAUGGCCAAAUAUAAAACACUGAAAUGUGCUCUGCUGGUUGUAACAUUCUCUUGGCAUUUCUUCAUUUAUUACUACGCUGGAAGCCUCAAAAAAAUGGAAGAGACCCAGCUCUGGGGACCUCUGAGAGGCCCUGGCUACCAGGAAGUCACGUGGUGUAUUAGGAGAAGGCAAGGCAUUUACAAAACCCUCAGCUGCUUUCUGCAGGAGAAAGCUGGGCCUCUAGACUCCCAGUCACCAGAGUGCAUUGCCAAACGCAAAGCCAGCACAAAACAGAUGAAACUACAGAGACCUUUGACUGGCAUCUUUAUCCUGAUGCCUCAAAAAGGAGCCAUGAUGAUGAUGAUUCAAGGUGCUUCCUUCCAGAUCCUUAAAGAGACACACACACUCAGAAUAAAUGAUGUUAUUUUCCGUGUUUUUCUUACUUAUGUGGUAUAAGAUUAUACACAUCCUAAAAAUUGCUUUAUUCAUUCCACAGUAUUUUGAGACUUAUCCAUGUGGCUUCAUAUAGAUUUAUUUCAAUACUCCUGGCUGCUGAUGGUACUCCAUCAUUUGAAACCACUACUUUUAUUUACCCAUAUCCCUCCUGACGUUCAGUAUUUGUCUGUGGCUGAUCCGAUGCAUUCUUCCAGCCCACUUAAGCAUUCCCUUCUUAGAAGUCUGACGGCACUUUAUUCUCCUUAGUUGUUCCACAUAUGUGUGGUCUGUUUCCCGGACGAGAAAGUUAAACUUCUAAGAGCAACUUCUAUGUCCGGCAUCUAAUCGAAUCAUUGCAUCUAUGUAAUACUCUGGUGAAUGACGAACUUUGGACUGUUGGCUCUCUCGGAGAGCUGAAGAGCAGCUCUGGACUCCCAGAGGUUCAACAAAUUCUAUCUAGUUAUUUAUUUCCUCUUGGUUUCUUAAAAGAGAAGUGCUGUAUUUUCAAAACAGGUUCAACUAAAAUUCACUUCCUUUCUUCAUCUAGAUUCGUGGCGGUGAGCAUCUCCUUAAAAUGUUCCAAAUCCGAACACCGGUGAUACCAUAAACGUUUCACCUUUAAAAGAUGAGACAGAGACAGACAGACAGACAGACGGACAGCAAUACAGAAAGAGAGAGCGAGAGAAAGAGAAGGAGGAGGGGGAAGAGAAAAAGGAGGAAGACUGAAAGGAUCCCCACCCCUCCGAAGGGCGGGGCCUGUGGCCCCUGCUGGCCUGGAGGCAAAGUCGGGCACAAAGGGCUGAUUCUCUUUGCAAAUGAAAUCUGGAUAACACACCCUCUCCCUUCUUUUCCUUGAAAAGUCUUCCCCUGCCACUUUUACUGUCAACUUUUAGGUUGCUCUUGUCAGAAUCAGUUUUCAUUUCUUUCCCUGGAAACUUUAUUCUCUGCCUCUUUCGGCUUCCUAAAGAAUUGGUUUGUUAAAGUUUUUAAUUGUUCGCGCUUUUUCUAGGGACAAUGAAGAAAGCGCAGAGUCUCCACAUCCACUCACCAGAAAUCCUCCAGAUCAUUCAACCCGACUCACAAUCAUGGCCGAAAGAGCUGCUUGGAAACUGUGAAAACCUUGCCAAAGGGACUCGCCCACUGCAUUGUUUGUUGGAGGAAAGGAGAAGGUGGGGACAUAGAAAAGCUGUGGAGGCACCCAGGUAUUCGGGGACCUCUCUGUAUUUGCGUUAGACCAUUUUUUCAUCUUGUGAAGUCAUUUUAACUCUUUCCUAGUCCAAGACACCAGCUUUUGGCUUUUUCGAGUCUGAUCCCUUUGCUCUGGCCAGGGUCCCCUUCCCCCGUGCCCCCCAAAUGCACCUACGCUUAUAUACAUGCCAUUCUGCAAAGAAUUUCCAGGAAGCCACAAAUCUCCUGAGACUAGAGAAGCCCAGGUAGAGAAGAUCUAAAAUAAGGUGAAAUUGCCAAGAAUCCAGAUGUUGGCAGAAACAGUAACAGUGACAGGCACUACAUGCACUGAUAGGAGCUACAAAAUAAAACCAAUCUCUGUAUGUGGGUGUUGGAGCCUAUUUGGGUUUGAUCCUGAGUUGGUCUUUUCAGACACACCUAUAUUUCCAUCACAGUUAGCAGGAUGAUCCAUACAUGCUCAGUGUGCCACCAUCUUUGAAUGCAAAGAAUGACUCUGGGUCGGGAAGAUGACAUGCUGGACAGGCAAAAGGCCGCACUGAUCAUGAGGAGAUGUGAUCAAAAUAUCAUCAAAAAUAUCUACAUCUGCAGCAAGUGCUAGAAAUAAGUGAAUAAGCGAUCUUGCCUUUCAGCACCCCUCACCUCAACUUCUCACCACAUCCUUGGCAUCAUUUCUUUCGGUAGCUUCUCUAUCCUACUUCAACGUCAAAGACUUCUUCAUGUGUCAUUGUCCUUAGAUCUAAUCUCUUCCAAACUCUUAGCUAUUCCCCAAACCAUACAGAUUACUGUCAUCAGAGUAACAUUUCCCAUUUACAGAGUGACUCCUAUGUGUCAACUAUGCAUGUAGCACCAAAAAUAUACUAUGCAUGUGUAUGAAAUCCAUGCAAUAACUCUGCUAGGCAGAUAGCAGUAUUUCCAUUUAAAGAGGAAAAACUUGAGGUUCAAAGAGCAGUGUCUUACUAAUGUUUCCAGAGCAAGGACCUGGCAGAACUGGGUUUAUCCUUAAUUCCAUGUGACUGCAAAUUCUCUCAGUCUUGUUGGCUCAUGCCACCAUCAUGUUUUUUCCAGAAAAUUCUUAAGAUUACGGAAUUCUCAGUUUAGAUGUUCUCAGCCUUCUUUGGCUCAUAGAAUAUUUGAGGAGAAAGGGAUCAGAGGCAAUCUUGUCUGACACACACACUUAACAAGUAAGGAAACUGACACUCACCUAGGAUGGGUUACUGGUCCAACCACGACCUUCCCUUUUCUAGUUCUCGAGGAGGCAGGAACCACAUCCUUUGGGAAGUUAUUUCCUGCUUCUCCUAGCAUAGCUCUAAGUGCACCAAACGUCUGUAGGUGGACAUUUGAUGACCAUUCCAAAAGGAGCAGAAACUCAAGUCCAGAACACCCGAACGACCGGCGCAAAGGAGGGCCAGACUCAGGUGGCAUCUACCUCAAAGGGACUUAACAAUCCAAGGUGUGCCCCUUCCUACCUCACCACCCCCCAGAAGAAGCCAAGAUAUUCCCUGGUCUUUGAAGCUAGUGUAGCAGUGAAAACAAGACAUGUAAAAUCACAGCGAAGGCAGCCCCCAAACCAGCACCUGCAUCCUAAAACCACUUCUACAGACAGCAGUGACAUGCAGCCCAAUUCAGCAGAUAAUGGCAAAGCCCUUCUCUUUCAGUCUGUGGUAGCUGGAAUGAGGAGGGAGAGGACAAGUCAGAGCUUGAAAGCUUGCUUUUAGGUUUGUUAUCAAGAACAACAAGUGACUGCCAUACUUCGAAUGUAUUUAAAAGUCCUGAAUCACAUAACUAGUCUGCCUUGCAUGGUCCUUGAAAAUGCAAAAAUAGAAAUGAAAGAAAUUAUCUAAGAGCAGCAAAGCAGGGAAACAGAGAUUAGCAUGAGAUUAGGAGUGCGGGCUGCGAUUCAUUAUUACCGAUGCUUAUAAACACUUGCUGUCUGACAGUAGUUGACAAGCCCUGCUAAGGACAGAGUAAUAAACAUGGU
rnacentral:lncRNA from 1 species